rnacentral:rRNA from 1 species
UACGUAGGGCGCAAGCGUUGUCCGGAAUUAUUGGGCGUAAAGAGCUCGUAGGCGGCCAGUUGCGUCUGCUGUGAAAUCCCGGGGCUCAACCCCGGGCGUGCAGUGGAUACGGGCUGGCUAGAGGCAGGCAGGGGAGAACGGAAUUCCCGGUGUAGCGGUGAAAUGCGCAGAUAUCGGGAGGAACACCGGUGGCGAAGGCGGCUCACUGGCUCAUUACUGACGCUCAGGCGCGAUAGCGUGGGGAUCAAACAGG